GGUUCCUGUUUGAACACACACGUGCCCUGAGUUUCCGCCUUGCGGCGGGAGGAGAGGAGGCUGGAAUCUCCACACUUCCUCAGCAAGGGCAAUCUUUAAAGGCACUAAGGUGUGACGGCCCAGACUGGCAGCUUGGCAAGUCGGAGCCCAUGGAUACCAGCACACAGGAAUCUGGAUGGUUCCCUCGCUCUGACAGCAGUCAGCACUGGGAACAAAAGGAAUGGAGGGGGG
rnacentral:lncRNA from 1 species